GGGAAUAUUGCGCAAUGGAGGAAACUCUGACGCAGUGACGCCGCGUGCAGGAAGACGGUUUUCGGAUUGUAAACUGCUUUAGACAGGGAAGAAACAAGACAGUACCUGUAAAAUAAGCCCCGGCUAACUACGUGCCAGCCGCCGCGGUAAUACGUAGGGAGCAAGCGUUAUCCGGAUUUAUUGGGUGUAAAGGGUGCGUCGACGGAGAAGCAAGUGAGUUGUGAAAUCCCUCGGCUUAACUGAGGAACUGCAACUAAAACUACUUCCCUUGAGUGCUGGAGAGGAAAGUGGAAUUCAUAGUGUAGCGGUGAAAUGCGUAGAUAUUAGGAGGAACACCAGUGGCGAAGGCGACUUUCUGGACAGUAACUGACGUUGAGGCACGAAAGUGUGGGGAGCAAACAG
rnacentral:rRNA from 1 species